UACGGGGGGGGGCAAGCGUUGUUCGGAAUUACUGGGCGUAAAGGGCUCGUAGGCGGCCAACUAAGUCAGACGUGAAAUCCCCUCGGCUUAACCGGGGAACUGCGUCUGAUACUGGAUGGCUUGAGUUUGGGAGAGGGAUGCGGAAUUCCAGGUGUAGCGGUGAAAUGCGUAGAUAUCUGGAGGAACACCGGUGGCGAAGGCGGGUCUCUGGGCCGUAACUGACGCUGAGGAGCGAAAGCGUGGGGAGCGAACAGG
rnacentral:rRNA from 1 species